rnacentral:rRNA from 1 species
UACGAAGGGGGCUAGCGUUGCUCGGAAUGACUGGGCGUAAAGGGCGCGUAGGCGGAUGGUACAGUCAGAUGUGAAAUUCCCGGGCUCAACCUGGGGGCUGCAUUUGAUACGUGCUGUCUUGAGUUCGGAAGAGGGUCGUGGAAUUCCCAGUGUAGAGGUGAAAUUCGUAGAUAUUGGGAAGAACACCGGUGGCGAAGGCGGCGACCUGGUCCGAGACUGACGCUGAGGCGCGAAAGC